AUUUCUCAAAUUUCUUUCUCUCUCUUCUCUCUUUUCUCCCUACGAUCUCUCUCUAUUUUCUCACCAUCUUCAUGAACAUCAUGAAGAACAACAAGAACAUCACCACCCAUCCCCAGAUUCCGGCGAGCCAUCGCCGGCCACCGUCGCCGCCGGAGCUUCUUUCAUCUGUAAAAGAAGAUGGGUUCAACAUCAAAGAUUUUAACCUUUGAGGAUCUGGCUAAACACAAUCACAAGAAAGAUUGAUGGAUCAUAGUCAACAACAAGUUUUGCAUGUAUGAAAUUCUCCUAGAUUCAAGUUUUUGGGUGUUGGAAAAACUAAGUUCUUGCAUGUAGGAAAUUCUCAAUAGAUUCAAGCUUUUGGGUGUUGGAAAAACUAAGGUAAGAGAAACCAACCUUCUCUUUUUAUUCUUUCUCUUUUAUACCAAACCCUAAGACCCUAGAAGAUGGACAAAAGAAAUUUUAUAAGUUAAAAUGGACAAUAUAUGUUUAGGCUGCAAGUUCAUGUAAAAGAAGAAAUAUUUAUGUGAAAUUUGUGUAGACAUACAUGUGGUAAAUUUAGUAUAACUCUCUGAAUAUAGGUCAUAUGCUAAAUAUUUUUAAACCACUAAAAAGAAGACAAAAUUUCCUACAAUUUAGUGACCGAAAAUGUUAAAUUCCCAUAAGUAUAGUAGGAUAAAAGCUACCUACAAGUUUGAGUAUAGUUUUAGUCCUGUUUCUGUACCGAUACCCAAUCUUUUGUUAAACUGGACCAAUUGGAUGGUUAAACCUCAAAACAAAAAUUAUAUUUGUAAUUUUGACAUCCUAAACUUUCAAAAGAGUGGUCGUUUACUCAAAACGGAUAUCGUUUGGUAUUUUAAUUAAGUUGCGAAAGUUAAGGUGUUGUUGCUAUGUUUGUGCAGAAAAAUCUGUUUCUGUACCAAUACCCAAUCUUUUGUUAAACUGGACCAAUUGGAUGGUUAACACUUAAAACAAAAAUUAUAUCUGUAAUCUUGACAUCCUAAUCUUUCCAACGAGUGGUCGUUUACUUAAAACGGAUAUCGUUUGGUAUUUUAAUUAAACUGCGAAAGUUAAGGUGUUGUUGCUAUGUUUGUGCAGAAAAACUGAUUUUAAAAGAAUAAUCUUGAUUCCUUUUGUCAAAAGUGUUUUCAAUUAUAUGAAAUGUUUUAAUUUACUUUGAUAUUUUCACUUAGCUUCAUUGUGUUGAUUCCAAUUUUUUGUUUACUUUCUUAAAUGGCAAGAUGAAAUAAUUUGUUUAUAAUCAUAUAUAUAUUAACUCAAUCAAUGUACCAAUCAUAUUUUCAUUUGUAUGUUUUACUAAUGAAUUUUGAAAUAAUGAAUAUGAAGUGAACCAAACACUAGCUACUUUAGGCUUCUUUGGAGUUGAGAAGCUGCAAAUAAUGUGAGCAAGUUUACAUGUUCUCAAUAUCUCAUCUUGAUAUCCUUCAUUCAAUAAUUAGGUUAUCAAAGCUUAUAUGCUAAGGAUUUCGAACAACUUCAAUUGUACCAUGGUCUUUUGGAUCAUCACAAUUUGAUUGAAUUGGCCAUUUAAAGGAGAAAAAUGGAGCAUGCUUGGUGUGAAUAUAAUUGGGUGGUGGUGCAUAUCAAUCCAAUACAACAUGUCAUAUUAGUUUUUUCAGCUUUGUAUAAUACAUAGUGAUA